AUGCCUAGCGACAAGGCGCCUGGACCUGAUGGCUUCACCGGCCUCUUCUUCAAGAAGUGUUGGGGCAUCAUCAAGCACGACCUCAUGAGGGUGAUUCAAUGCUUUGACUCCCUCCACACAACAAAUCUUCACUGGCUCAAUUCUGCGAAUGUUGUGCUGCUUCCCAAGAAGGAUGGGGCGGAGAGCAUCGUCGAUUAUAGACCCAUCAGUCUCAUUCAUGGAAUCGCCAAGAUCAUUGCAGAAGUGCUUUCCAUAAGGCUCAGACCGCAUAUGUCCACCCUCGUCUCCAAUGCUCAAAGUGCUUUCAUCAAAACACGGAGCAUCCAUGACAACUUCAUGUAUGUUCGAAACCUCGCGCGACGCCUUCACUAG
rnacentral:rRNA from 1 species